rnacentral:rRNA from 1 species
GACGAACGCUGGCGGCGUGCCUAAUACAUGCAAGUCGAACGGCAGCACAGAGGAGCUUGCUCCUUGGGUGGCGAGUGGCGAACGGGUGAGUAAUGUAUCGGAACGUGCCCAGUCGUGGGGGAUAACGUAGCGAAAGCUACGCUAAUACCGCAUACGAUCUAUGGAUGAAAGCGGGGGAUCGCAAGACCUCGCGCGAUUGGAGCGGCCGAUAUCAGAUUAGGUAGUUGGUGGGGUAAAGGCUCACCAAGCCGACGAUCUGUAGCUGGUCUGAGAGGACGACCAGCCACACUGGGACUGAGACACGGCCCAGACUCCUACGGGAGGCAGCAGUGGGGAAUUUUGGACAAUGGGCGCAAGCCUGAUUCAGCAAUGCCGCGUGCAGGAUGAAGGCCUUCGGGUUGUAAACUGCUUUUGUACGGAGCGAAAAGGCUCUCUCUAAUACAGGGGGCUCAUGACGGUACCGUAAGAAUAAGCACCGGCUAACUACGUGCCAGCCGCCGCUGUAA